AACCCUGAGGCGUGAUGACGAUGCACUACGGUGCAGAAGUAGUUGAUGCCAAGCUUCCAGGAAAAGCCUCUAAGCAUCAGGUAACACAGAAUCGUACCCCAAACCGACACAGGUGGUCAGGUAGAGAAUACCAAGGCGCUUGAGAGAACUCGGGUGAAGGAACUAGGCAAAAUGGUGCCGUAACUUCGGGAGAAGGCACGCUGGCGCGUAGGUGAAGAGACUUGCUCUCGGAGCUGAAGCCAGUCGCAGAUACCAGCUGGCUGCAACUGUUUAAUAAAAACACAGCACUGUGCAAACACGAAAGUGGACGUAUACGGUGUGACGCCUGCCCGGUGCUGGAAGGUUAAUUGAUGGGGUCAGCCGCAAGGCGAAGCUCUUGAUCGAAGCCCCAGUAAACGGCGGCCGUAACUAUAACGGUCCUAAGGUAGCGAAAUUCCUUGUCGGGUAAGUUCCGACCUGCACGAAUGGCGUAAUGAUGGCCAGGCUGUCUCCACCCGAGACUCAGUGAAAUUGAACUCGCUGUGAAGAUGCAGUGUACCCGCGGCAAGACGGAAAGACCCCGUGAACCUUUACUAUAGCUUGACACUGAACAUUGAGCCUUGAUGUGUAGGAUAGGUGGGAGGCUUUGAAGCGUGGACGCCAGUCUGCGUGGAGCCAACCUUGAAAUACCACCCUUUAAUGUUUGAUGUUCUAACUCGGCCCCAUAAUCUGGGGUGAGGACAGUGUCUGGUGGGUAGUUUGACUGGGGCGGUCUCCUCCCAAAGAGUAACGGAGGAGCACGAAGGUUAGCUAAUCACGGUCGGACAUCGUGAGGUUAGUGCAAAGGCAUAAGCUAGCUUGACUGCGAGAGUGACGGCUCGAGCAGGUACGAAAGUAGGUCUUAGUGAUCCGGUGGUUCUGAAUGGAAGGGCCAUCGCUCAACGGAUAAAAGGUACUCCGGGGAUAACAGGCUGAUACCGCCCAAGAGUUCAUAUCGACGGCGGUGUUUGGCACCUCGAUGUCGGCUCAUCACAUCCUGGGGCUGAAGUAGGUCCCAAGGGUAUGGCUGUUCGCCAUUUAAAGUGGUACGCGAGCUGGGUUUAGAACGUCGUGAGACAGUUCGGUCCCUAUCUGCCGUGGGCGUUGGAAGAUUGAGAGGGGUUGCUCCUAGUACGAGAGGACCGGAGUGAACGCACCACUGGUGUUCGGGUUGUCAUGCCAAUGGCACUGCCCGGUAGCUAAGUGCGGAAAAGAUAAGCGCUGAAAGCAUCUAAGCGCGAAACUUGCCUCGAGAUGAGUCUUCCCUGGGCCUUUAAGGCCCCUGAAGGAACGUUUAAGACUAAGACGUUGAUAGGCUGGGUGUGUAAGUGCAGCGAUGCAUUGAGCUAACCAGUACUAAUGAUCCGUGAGGCUUAACCUU
rnacentral:rRNA from 1 species